ACCGCCAGAGCCAUCCUGUGGCCUUCACGGUCACCGUCCUGCCUGUCAAUGACCAACCCCCUGUCCUCACCACAAACACCGGCCUGCAGAUGUGGGAGGGGGCCAGGGCGCCCAUCCCUGCGGAGGCUCUGAGGAGCACGGACGGUGACUCCGGGCCUGAGGACCUGGUCUACACCAUCGAGCAGCCCAGCAACGGGCGGGUAGCGCUGCGGGCGGCGCCGGGCACCGAGGUGCGCAGCUUCACGCAGGCCCAGCUGGACGGCGGGCUCGUGCUGUUCUCACACAGAGGAGCCCUGGACGGAGGCUUCCGCUUC